AUGUAUUGUGGCAAGUCUCGUGAUGCAAAAAUUGUGCUAGAGGCCGUAGCAUCCGAGGAUUUAUGGAUUUGGCAUUGCUUUUUUGGUAUGUCGGGCACUCUCAAUGAUAUCAAUGUGUUGCAACGGUCUCAUUUGUUUGCUAGGCUUGCUAGUGGUGAUGCUCCUGCUUGCAACUACACUAUCAAUGGGCAUGAAUACACAAAGGGGUACUAUCUUGCAGAUGGUAUAUACCCUCCUUGGUGCACAUUUGUCAAGAGCAUCAAAGAACCCAAAACAAAAAAACAAUGUGAAUUUGCAAGGGUGCAAGAGGCAGCCCGAAAAGACAUUGAAAGAGCAUUCAGUGUUUUGCAAUCUAGGUUUGCCAUUGUCCGUGGUCCUGCUGGUUUUUUGGAUAAGAAAACCUUGAAGAACAUC
rnacentral:rRNA from 1 species